rnacentral:lncRNA from 1 species
AAGGAAUAAAAUGUAAAAGAAUUUUGGGCAAUAAGCAAAGUGAAUUAAGGUGAAGAAGUUCAAGGUAGGUACCAAAUAUUGUUGGAGAAAAAGAGGAAGCAAUGUCAUGUUGAUGUAGUAAGUGUUAUUAUUAAUCAAUUAGUAAUAUUUAUAGUAAUAAUAAUACCAACUCCGAUCUUAAAUAUAAGAAAAUUUUAGAUCAAUAAAAAUUGAUGUAUCUGGUUUAAAUUUUGAAUCAGAUAUAUCAGUUUUUGUUACUCAAUUUUUUUCUUAUAUUUAGAAUCAGAGAGAAUAUUAUUAUGCAAAAAAGUAAAAGUGAGUAUAUGAUUUGUCUUGAAAAGUGUAAGUUUAUGUUAUGGGAAAAUGUAUUUGCUUAUUUCAUUGCAUUUUUUGUUUAUAUUUGUUUGUACUAUACCAAAUGAGCAAUAAAAUACAAAGGAGAAAGACAAGGUAUGCUGCUCCUUUGUCAUGUGAUCAUGUCUCCAUUAGUUUGUGUGUUGAAUUAUUUAUUUGUACACUUGGGAGAAUAAUUGGAUAUUUACAUUUCUAACUUAUAAUUAUUAUUAUUUUUGACAAUUAUAAUUAUAACAUAUAUAUUAUAUAACAUGACUAUGACAUGAUCAAAUCAUGUGUCACAUAUGUGGCAUGGUGGGAUGAUUAAAGGGAAGUCUUUAACCCUUUAAUUACGUAAUUUAGAUAUUUGGAAUUGUUACAUAAUUGAUCAACUUGUGUGUUUUGGAAUAAUGAUUUUUGGAUGCCAAUUGGCCACUAGUCUAAUACAUACCGUGUAAAAAUGUACCAUAAAGAAGAUAUUUUGUAUUUUUUAAAAUUUAUAUUGAGAAGUUGUCGAUAAAAAAUAAGUAUUUGUAUAAAAUUAAUUAAAUGAAUGGCAAAGAGAUUUUGUUGAAAAGCUCUUUUGCACCAAAGAAUGGAAACAAGAAAAAGACACAUCGUAGAAAAAGAAGGAAACAAAGUUAUGUCACUUUCAUACAUGGCCCAAAAUAGUAUAGGUGUCAUUUCUCCAUAAGCUGUGAUUAAGAUGUAAUAAUCGCGUUUGACCUCUUCUUUGAUGGCUUUGUUCCAACUCUCAACAGUGUGUGACCGUGAGUUUUUUUUUUCUUUCUUCAAGAUAUUAGCAUUUUUUAUUUUAAUAAUAAAAUAUUAGAGUUGAUCUUUACAAGAUACUAAGAAUAAUCACUAUUGCCGACAUGUUGCAGCAUUUUUUUCGACAAGUACAAAAAUAUCUUAAAGAAUAAUUCCGCAGUUUUAGAACAAUAAAAAAAUUAAUAUUUUUUGGGUACAUAUAAAAAAAUUAUUUUAAAAUUAACGUAUUUUACUUUUAAAUGUAGAUUUUAAUUUAUAGAUCUUGCUGCUAAUAUGUAUUUUAAAGGCACAUGUUAAAUAACCUAAUAGUAAAAUUAAUACAUUAAGAAAUACAACAUUUAGCUUUUGAAAAGUUAAAUGCAUAUUUUUUGCUUAUAGCAAUAUGAUGUCUUCUAUAUCUUUAGAUGUAAUAUUUAAGAUGAUUAGUUUUGUCAUUCAAAAAGAGUUAACGGCAUGAUUUAUUGUCCAUUUAUCUUUCAUUCAAGUAUAAUUAUCUUACAUAUAUAUGUAUAUAAUUAAAAUAAAAAAUAAAAAAUUAUAUUAAAUUAUUUAUUAUGUUCCCUUAGGACUAAGGGCAUAUGUUACCAUCCGCCAUAAUUUAUUUAUUUUUCAGAUGUGUUUUAUGUGCACUAUUAUCAAAAUAUUUUAUUUUGCAUUUAUCUUUUUUGAAACAUGUUUUAUUUUAUAUUUAUGAUAGGGAAAAGUACAUCGAUAAUUAAUAAAAUUAUUUUGUAUCAUAUUUUGACGGACAAGAUCAAGCUUUUCUCUUUUAGGUGGUUGAAGUCGACGAGUAUUACGUUAGCUUCUAACUAUCAUAGCUGGUGGUCUAGUCCUAUGCUUUGUUUGGGCUUUGUAUGAUUUGUUUAUGAUUUUGUUCCUCUGAUUCUUUGUAAACUUUUGUAGUCUAUCUCGGUACGUCUUGUGCUGGGGAGGCUGUUGUGGUAAUAUAUAUCUCAUUUUAGCUUGUUAAAAAAAAUUGUACUUUUUUUUUAGAAAAAAUUAUUUUGUAAAUUUUUUAUGACUUAUGAGAAUGUCAUCAAUUUUCUUAAUGUGUGACAAAAAUCUUGAAAGACAAUUGAUUUAAAUUUAAAGAGGAGAUUAAUUCAAUUGAUAGAAACAUCAUAUUAUAUAUAUAAGAGUUGAAGUUCGAAACUUUUAUUUAAUAAAAAAUAGAAAUAUACACAUUUUUAAUCAUACAGUCUAGCUACAUCAAAUUGGAAAUAGUUUUUCUUUUAAAAAUUAAUUGGAAGAAAUAUUUCAGAAUCUCGUAAUCUUCAUAUCUGGAUCCAAUCAAAGUUGUUGCAGAUUCACGUGUGUUGUAAAUUACCUUGAAAACGAGGAAGACACAAAAAAGUUACUGGUUUGGCGCCUCGGGCGGAAGUAAUGGCGCCUCAGGCGGAAAUUUCUGCAUAACAGGUAUGACUUUCUGUUUUGGCGCCCCAGGCGGAAAUUUCUGCGCCCCAGGCGGAAAAACACGCAGUUAUAUAUAUGUGUCAUGUUUUCUGUUAUUUGCAAGGUGUUUUUAGGGUUUCUAAAGCCAACAAAAGACUAGGGUUUGAAAGAGAACUUUUCUUGGGGAAACACUAGGGUUGGGAUUGAUUCAUCACCUUGGAAAACACUUUCACAUUGAAUCUCUUGGUCACGGGGAGAGAUUCAGGAAAAGAGUAGAAUUUAGGAAAACUCUAAAUUCUUGCAACUCUUGUAUUGAAUCUUUGUAAUCAAGCUUUACUUUCUGUUUUGGCGCCCCGGGCGGAAAAACAGACAGUAAUAUAUAUGUGUCACAUUUUCUGUUAUUUGCAAGGUGUUUUUAGGGUUUAUAAAGCCAACAAAAGACUAGGGUUUGAAAGAGAACUUCUCUUGGGGAAACAUUAGGGUUGGGAUUGAUCCAUCACAUUGGGAAACACUUUCACAUUGAAUCUCUUGGUAAUGGGGAGAAAUUCGGGAAAAGGGUAGAAUUUAGGAAAACUCUAAAUUCUUGCAACUUUUGUAUUGAAUCUUUGUAAUCAAGCUUUCCAUUGAUAGUGGAACGGAUAGUGGCUCUCUCCCCCAGAGUAGGUUGUUAUAACUGAACUAGGUAAACAAUUUAUUCGUGUCUUUUAUUGCUUUUGGUAGUUCUAGCUUUUGUUGAUUUAUUGCUUAUUCUCACUCAUUUUGAUUUAGUUGCUUCAAUUCAUUUGUCCCACACAUCAAAGGUUUUAUUGGUGUGGUUUUCGGUCCGAAUUCACAACAACAUGAAUACGAUAAGAAGUUAUAAACGUGUCACGUACGGUAAGCAAAUACUAUAUACCUUCCAUAUGGACUUGUAUUCUUGGUUGUUGAAAACUGUGCAGUCAGUAAAUUUUAGAUCGUUUGAUGUUGAUCGAACGGUUUAGAUUUCAUCUAAGAAUUUUGUUUUAAACAAAAAUAAAAAAUGAUCUUAAAAUCUAAAUUGUCUUAUUUUAAUAAGACAGCUCAGAACUACCGACUGCAUUCAGUCCAACCGCAUGUAAUCCAAUUCACUUUUUUUAUUGAUAAAAAAAAUACUAUCACAAUUUUUUUUCAGAAAUUAAAAUGAUACUUGCUAACAUGUUACAGUUUAGGUUUUAUGACUCGUGACAACAGUUCGAAAGGUUGACCUAUUCGAAAAUACUCAAAUCUAUGCUUAUUGUCAACUCCCUAGAACAUUUCCUCAUUUAUUACGCUCUUCUUGUCUCUGGGUGCCUAGGUAGCCUUUCCUCGUUUGAACCUCGCUCUUAACUUGAAGCCUAUGCCAACCUAAGGUGCUGUUAGAUGAAAGGAUCUUAUCAGCGUCCAAAAAUGAUAAAUCAUAGCAUAGCUUAAACCAAACUACCGAAUAGGAAAAUUGAGCUAUGAGUGCUAUCAUAUAGUUUUAUAUAUCAUUAAAAUUCACGAGUUGGAGAUAAGCGGACUCAAACCGCUGCCAUCCGUCAUAGGGUAGGUAAAUUACCGCCUCUCAAGCCCCAACGACUUUUAUCUAAUGUGAUUAGUGGCAAGAGAUUAUUUGCUAAACAUUAACUAAUCAGUUGAUUUAUGAUAAAUGCAAAAAUCAAAUUGAGUUAAUAUACAUGGACGACGAUAUGGACCACAUAUGCAUGGUGUGGCUGCGCAGCCAUUUUCAAAGUUAGUUUUAUUUUCUUAUUUUAUAUAUGCUUGCUAGUACACCAGUCAGUUAGUGUGAGAUAUCAUAAAUCUAUAAAUACAUCAUGUACAUACAAGUUUCAUUAAUGAAAAGAUGUGUUUUCCAUUCAUUUUGUUACAGAUAUAUUGUUGCAUAUUUUGUAUUACUUGUGUUGGAAGUAAUUGUCUUUAUCAGUUUAAGUAGAAUUUUUCUUCCAGUUUAUUCAACUUUAGCACCCUCCCUCUCACACUGUUUUCUCCAACAUCUUAUCCCUAUUUUUAAAGUGAGUGACUACACUGCGAUUUUUAAGUAUGCUUGGAUCCGCAGUGAUUUUGAAAGAAUUACGGUGAACUAUGUCGUGAUUUUGAUAAAAGCUACACUUCAAAGCUUCAAAAAAUUAAGGCACCUUGAUUUUGUCAAUCCGAUCUCCUAUUCUCCUACACAAAAAUGCACUUAAAGGAUGAACAUGGCUUCAAAAUAAAUACCAUGCACAUUGUUGUAAAUUCGAUCGUGGGGUAAAAUUCGGCAACAAUAACCAAGUAAUACAAUAAUAAUUAGAACAAGAACACAAAGAUAUUUUUACCCAACAAUAACCUACAUCUAUGGAAGAGAGCAACCUUCCGUUCACCAAAUAAAUAAGUUUUGUUACAUACAGUUCAAUCUUAAUUCUACAUAUCCUUUUUUCGAAUCCCUACAUGUGGCCAAGGGACUCAAUGGUUUAGUGUUUGCAAAGUGGAUUCAACAACCCUUUGCUCAAUUCUAUAAUUAUAUCAAGAGCAAACCCUCAUUGUUCUAUCUCUCAAAUCCUAGCUUUUGUGUUGACGGCAAAUCCUACUUGAAUCUUCUCUCUCUUAUAUUUCGUAUUUCACAUAGUUCUCUCAAGAUAUAAAUAUAAGGCUUAAAAGUUGAAACAAACAAAUCUGUUUAAAAAUAAGAUAAAAUCUCACUCUAUUUUGAAUACAAACAAAAUCUCUAAUAUAUUUUGGUUGAAACAUAUCUAAUUUAAAAACAAACGACACACAAAAUACACUCAAAACUAACUGAUUUUAAGGUAAAGGAAAGUAGAAGCAAUUCUACAAAUUCAUCGAACUCUAAAAUCAAAUGUUACAAAGUAUGCAUUGCAUGGUUACUAAAAUAGGAAAACAGAACACAGUGGAUCCCUUGAUUGCUCAGAUAGUAAUCAGUCAAUCAUAAAAAGAAAAUAAAAUACUACAUGCUAUGACACCUUUGCAACUUCUUCAAAGACAUUAUUUUGUUCUUCACACUAUGUACUUCUUCUUCUACCUCAUCGCCAGGGAAGGACCAUGCGAUCGUUUUGCUCUUUCCCGCAGCUGCACCACCCAAUUCAACCGCCUGUGGCUUAUCGUUCUCAUUGACCUUUUGAACGAUAAUUCUUUCUUGAAAAACCAAUGUUGAAAAUUGAAGUGAAAGGUCUUGUUGUUCUUCAUUGCAUGAUGACUUUCUGAAAGAUCUUGUCAUUGUUGAAACUUAAUUCACAAUAAUUGAGAGGAAGAAAGAUGAACAGAGAGAGUUGAAAACACUUGAGGAAAGAAUAUUGUGAUUGAUUAAAUUGUUGAGAAUUCUUUUGGAGAUCUUAUAUUUAUACUUAGAAAAAUAUUGUUAGGAUAUAAUUAAGAUAUAUAUUAGAAAUUUUAGGAUUUGUUUGUUACUCAAAUAUAUGAUCUAACAUUCUGUUUUUUUUUAAUGCAAAAUAUUCAAAAUAUAUGUAACUUGUUCAGCAAGAUAACUAUUCCUAAGGUUAAAUUUUGACAAAAAUAAUUUAAAAUUUCAAUUGAAAUUAAAAAAUUAAAUAUAAAAAAUGACAACAUGAUUAACUAUUAUAUAUUAAUUAGAUGCCAUAUCUAAUAUAAUUCUAGAGUAGGAAAUUCUAGAUACCAUAUCUAAUCAUACACUCUGCCUUAUAGACAGAGGAGGAGCAAUUGUGCCAUUCACAAAUAAUGAAUUUGAUACUGCAUUAUUGGUUUCAAUCAACUCAUCAUCAGGGCAAAAAACAUGAUUGCUUUGGUGGUUUCUUCUAUUUAUUCCAUUAGUAGUUCUGCUUUCAAUGGCAAGAAAUUGACCAAGAGAUGGAGGAUUGUUUUUCUGGUUAUCAAGUUCAUGAUCUUUGUUCCUUGAACAUAGACAGAAUAAGCAUGAACUGAAAUUGAAGUACUUGUUCUGAUCUUUCUUGGUUUUGAAGAUUUCUGAUUUGGCUUCUCUUAUUGACUUUCUAGAUAGCUCUACACUGCCAUUGACUCCCAUUAGGCUCCCAAGUGUAGUACUCUUGUCAAGGAAAAAUGACCCUGUGGACUGAAUUAAAGACAAAAAUUAGCAACUGUUAAGAAAUUAGGCAACAUAAUCAAAAUACCAGAAUUUAAGAUAGAAAACCUCCAUAGUCCAUAGUAAAAGUCACUUCUAAUGUUAAAUGACAAUUAGAAUUUUUUACAAUAAAUAAACAUCUCUCAAGCACUUCACAACACUUUAAAUAGUUAACAUUGCAGCUGAAUGCAGAUUGUAAUGUGUACUAGACUACUAGGGAUAUGUUUGUAAGAAAUAGAAGUUAGUCACCAAGGUGAACUAAGGCUCUGAUACCACUUGUUGGGGGAGUCAGGAGGAAGCACUAAGAGCAACAACAUGCUAAUGAUCAAGGAUCAUCGGUACACCACAUCUCUAUCUAAAUCCUUAUAUGUUGAGUAUACUUAUAACCCCUCUUAUAUAUCUAUAUCUAACACUAAGUUCAUUCAUAUAUUUGAUGUGAAACUAAUCGGUCACACUUGAAUCCAACAAUAUCUUCCUCAAGUGUGAGUCUCCCUACAUAUUAUUUCCUUCCUCCUGAUUUUUUAGUUGCAUGCAAAUAGUGUCGAUGAACUUUUAUAUCUAAUAAUACCUUUCACAUGUAAAAAUUUAAACUUAACAUGUCUUUAGGCAAGUUUGAAUUAGUAGUACAUAAUGGAAUGAAGUGAAACGAAAUAAAAUAGAUUGGAAUAGAAUAGAAUGAAAUAGAAUAUAACAAAAUUUAAUUUAAAGAGCAAAUACAUGGAGUAGUAUAAUCCAACAUAGUAACCAAAAACUAUUACCCAUAAAUUUUGUUAAUUAAUCUUAGUUUUACUAACCUCUGUGUCUAAAUCAGAUGAAGAAUUUGUAGAAGAAGUAGGAGAACCAGUAAGCAAGGUGUUGAAUGACAUUGAUCCAAAGUUGUCCCCAAUCCUCCUCCCAUUCAAUGGCUGUAAACCCAGUGGCCACCCCUCAUUCUAACAUCAAAUAAUCAAUUAUAUGAAAAAAGUCAUUAAUGCAAAUGAAAAUUCAAGAGGAAAAAUCCAAAAACUAACAUAGAGUAGUCACAAAGAAAAAAGUACCUGUUGAGCCAUACUUUGUUCUUAAAUCUUAAUACUACUAUUUCACUAUAAUUGGCAAGAGGUGUGUAAUUAGAGAAAGAGAAGAAGAAAUAAUGAGGUCAAAAAAGAGUGACAUAACAAGUGAGAAUGGUUAUAAUUUGUGACAGGCAAUAACCAUUAUCUCUGUUUUUAUAUUUACCUCUGUUGACUAUAAUGAAAAACAUAAUCAUUUUGUCGAGGUACUAAUUGGUCAGAGUCUGUUUUGCAUGAGCAGUGUUUAUAAACUUAUUGUAUUUUGAUACAGUGUUUAUAAUACUUUGUCAUUAAUAAUGCAAGCAUUCAAUUUUUGCUUAUAUUUAAGUUUUUUUUUUCACGACCAUUAUUUGGCUCACUGGACUGCCUAAUCUAAUUUGAGGGUUAGUUCUGUCAUCAAGUGGUUUGAGAGUCAGUUCUAGACCGCUAAGAUUUGAGAACAUAUGAAAUAUUACGGUAUUAAAAAAUAUCAAAGGUGUUUUAGCACUUAUGAAUAAUGAACGAUGAGAGUAAGGAUCCUAUGAAAAGUAGUAUUUUGAGGAUGCAAUUCGUUUCAGUAGUGUUAGAAGACAAUCACAAGCAUCUAAAAUAUUGUCCAAAGUCACUUUCUAAAAAGCAUCACUUAUGCUCAAAGCGCGGCAGGUGUUUUAAUAAAACAAUGCUCACUCUUUGCAUAAUUUUGGAUUACAUGCUAAUAUAUCUUAAAUCAUUCAUUAACACUUGGGAGAUAUUCUUUUGGUAAUAUAUUGCUUAUACGACUAACCUUACUAGUUGUUUACCAUAGCUGUUUCUUUUGUCAAUACUCAAUAGACAAAGCAUAAGAGGUGGGACAUAUUGCAAUGUCCCUAGGGUGGUAGUUGUUCUAGUCCAGCAAGACUUUGGGCCAGUGGAUUUUGUUUUCGCUUCAAUCGAGUUUAAUGGACGGUGGAAUUGGUCUUCAGAUUAGUAUGUUUGGACUUGAAAUUUGGAUGAUAGGUUGUACUAUUGGGUUGUUGGUUUAGGAUUGUUGGAGGUUGUAUAUAUUUGUGAAGGAAGGGUGCCCGACGAUCUAAGUCUGUAAACACCGAAAGUGAGAGGUUUAGAUUAGAUAAGAUAUAUCUAGCCUAGCCCAUAUGGCAUGUUUAUAUAGGAGGAAUAGGUAACCUAGAACUUCUCCUAGACACAUGCUCUAAAGACAAGUGUUAAUUGAUUCCUAGGCGGAAAAUCUAGUGGGUCCCAUGAAUGAUAUUCUAUAUAUUUUUUUUUAGGGUGUGUCCAUUAUAUUGUCGGUUCAGCUAAGUGUAAUUUGAAUGAUCCGAUCUAGUUCAUAGAUGGGUCUUGACCCAAGCCGAAACAAAAACAAAUCCUAACAGGAUCACAAAUUAUGAUUCAUAAUGGUAUCUUAAUAAUAUCUCAUUUUAAAUAUAAAUCAUCUAAAUUUACGAGAGAUGUUUAGAUAUAUUAUUCUAAAUAAUUUAGUUUUUUGCAAGGGAUGUAUACAUAACAUAGCCCAAAACGAAAGAAGAAAAAAAAAAUGGGUCCAAAAUGUAGAGAGCAAAAAGAAGUAGUGAGUUCUAAGAAUGGGCCAAACAAAACAAACUAUAAAAAGCAACGGAACAGAGCCACACAGAUCAACAGGACACGCGUGAUGAACAACGUGAAUGUCGUUCAUUGAAUCGGACGUUGUUGAAACAUUGUUCACAACGUUGAUCACUUUCAUUUUAUCAACUGAAAACCCGUCAAAAUUUGAGGUUUCAUUUGACCUACAUUAUUAAAAAACAAAUAUUGCUUUCAAACGUUUGCAACUGAGAUCAUAGAAUCAAUUAUCUCUUUUCAGGUUUUUAACAUUAAUUAUUCUUCUUGUUUGUUCUGUUAAUCCAUUUUGUUUUGUUUUGAUUAGUUUUAAUGAUAAUGUAAUAUUAUGUAUAACAUGUUAUUAUGGUGAUGUAAAUAGAGAUUAGUGUAAUAGAAAUAAUUAGUGAGGUGUAGAAAUAGGUGUUAAAAGAAAUGAUGAGAAAAAAUUCUUUGAAUUGUGCAGCUUUUGGAAGACAAUGGCAGAGGAGGAUAUUCAGCCACUCGUUUGUGAUAAUGGGACAGGAAUGGUUAAGGUAAAAUUUUCAGCUUAUGAAAAUGUAAAUAAAUAAGUUUUAUGUUAAUUUAUAUUUUUUCAUAAACUACCUUGACAAACUUAUAAUGAUAGAUAAAGUUUAUUUAUUUGCAUGAGUUGUUUUGCAUAAACUCAAAAAUAAGUCAAUCCCAACAGACUGAGUAUCUUUUUCAAUUUCUCUUAUGUGUUGUUAAAUAGUGGUUAUAGCAGCUUAGCAAAAUUUGAACAAAUUGUUAUUGUUCUGCGAUAUGCUAUUUAUCACAAAAUGUUGUUAAAUAGCGGCUAUAGUGCUAUAGCACUAUUGCUAAACAUAAUUUGAAUGAACCGCUAUUUUUUGCAAUCUAUGAUUGAUAACAUUGAUUCUAUUUGUAUGGUAACUUCCACUUUUUACUAAUUUUCGGUGAAACUAUUGCAUUGUGGGUUGCAAUGUUUAGGCUGGAUUUGCUGGAGAUGAUGCUCCAAGGGCUGUGUUUCCUAGCAUUGUUGGUCGACCACGCCACACCGGUGUGAUGGUUGGCAUGGGACAAAAAGAUGCAUAUGUUGGGGAUGAAGCUCAGUCCAAGCGUGGUAUNNNNNNNNNNNNNNNNNNNNNNNNNNNNAUUGUGAAUAACUGGGAUGACAUGGAGAAGAUUUGGCAUCAUACCUUCUACAAUGAACUCCGUGUAGCCCCUGAGGAGCACCCGGUUUUGCUCACCGAAGCACCUCUCAACCCGAAGGCUAAUCGUGAGAAAAUGACACAAAUUAUGUUUGAGACAUUCAACACGCCUGCUAUGUAUGUUGCCAUCCAGGCCGUUCUAUCGCUCUAUGCCAGUGGCCGUACAACUGGUUAGUCAUUUUCCGGUUUAAGAAANNNNNNNNNNNNNNNNNNNNNNNNNNNNNNNNNNNNNNNNNNNNNNNNNNNNNNNNNNNNNNNNNNNNNNNNNNNNNNNUGGCUAUUUUAUGCUUAAAUUCUGAUUGAAAACUCUAUUAAUUUGUGCAGGUAUUGUUUUGGACUCUGGAGAUGGUGUCAGCCACACUGUGCCUAUUUAUGAAGGGUAUGCCCUUCCACAUGCUAUCCUUCGUCUUGAUUUAGCAGGACGCGAUCUCACUGAAGCCUUUAUGAAAAUCCUUACCGAGCGUGGUUAUUCCUUCACUACCACAGCCGAGCGUGAAAUUGUAAGAGAUAUGAAGGAAAAACUGGCUUAUAUUGCACUUGAUUAUGAGCAAGAGCUUGAAACUUCAAAAACAAGCUCUGCCGUUGAGAAGAGCUACGAGCUUCCUGAUGGACAGGUCAUCACCAUUGGUGCUGAGCGUUUCCGUUGUCCUGAGGUUCUUUUCCAGCCAUCCAUGAUUGGAAUGGAAGCUGUUGGCAUUCAUGAGACAACAUACAACUCGAUCAUGAAGUGCGAUGUUGAUAUCAGAAAGGACUUGUAUGGAAACAUAGUACUCAGUGGUGGUUCUACCAUGUUCCCUGGUAUUGCUGACAGAAUGAGCAAGGAAAUUACGGCGUUGGCCCCAAGCAGCAUGAAGAUCAAGGUGGUCGCUCCACCCGAGAGAAAAUACAGUGUCUGGAUCGGUGGCUCUAUCUUAGCUUCUCUUAGCACUUUUCAACAGGUAAAUUAAACCAUCUGUGCAGCACGCCGUACAACAUUUUUUUUAACAUGUUUGAUUUAUUUGGAAUACUAAUGAUGAGACACUUAUUUUUGGGAAUGUAGAUGUGGAUUGCGAAGGCCGAAUACGAUGAAUCUGGUCCUUCAAUUGUACACAGGAAAUGCUUUUAAAAUGGUGCAGAGAAUGUUUUGGUGUAGGUACGGUGUUCUUUUUUGGCAAUGCAAUAGCGCCUUGCAACCAUUGAUAAUUUUUGAAGUAUUUAUGUAAUGUUAGAACGGUGAAGCUUGAGUUACAAUGCAGUUAAUUCUUUCAUUUGUUUUGUUUUACCAAUUGGUAAUUGUUCAACAGGUGAUCUUUUGAUCUUUUAACUAUAAAUCAAAGACAUUUCAAUUUAUUUCUACUUGCUUCUCCAUCAACAUAUUAUUCUAAUUAAACUGAUCAUGUUGGAUCCUAUAAUUUUAUACAAAAAAAAAAAAGAAUAAGCAUGUAUAUAGUUAAAUCAGACCCUCCAUUUUUUGUCCAAUGUCCAUGUAUUAUAUGAAAUUCAUCUUCUUGUCAAACAGGUUGGUUAGUUGAUUUUUUGGUUGUUGAGUGGACAUUUUGAAUAUUUAGCACUUUUUUUUUUGUUUUUGCAAAAAUGGACUAUCUAGUAGACUGAUAUUAUAAUAAAACUUCCAUUCCGAUGAGGGAGCAACUCUUCCACGGUUACAAGACUUCGGGCACAAGUCUUAGGCACUCUCGCAUAAAAGCAAAAUUUAGAAUUAGUAUUUUGUGAGUGUGCUUAAAAAAAUUGAGCACGUCCUCUGUAACCCNNNNNNNNNNNNNNNNNNNNNNNNNNNNNNNNNNNNNNNNNNNNNNNNNNUACCCCUACCCAUGGCCCCUGUUCCAUAUUUGGUUUUGUACUUAUAUGAGAAUCAUCUGCCCAUGAGGUCCAUUGGCUUGUGCCUUGUAGUGAGGCUGUCUUUCAGAUUCCUACAUGUUAAAUUUCUAAGCUCAGGUUUACAAAAGCAAAAAGGGGAAUAAUACUAUAUUUUUGUAUGUCACUUCGCUCACCUAAUGAAUGUUGAAAAUUGAAAUUGGGGUUUUCUCUGGUGUUAGGUGACAAAACAUAUCCUUUAUUUUUUUGAGAGACCCAUAUCUCUUAUAAUGAAGCACAUCAAUUUAUAAAUAUAAAUAUUAUUACUAACGUUAAUGUGUAUUUAGCUAGAACUAAAGUUAACAUAACCAAAACUAACGAUGAAUUGAUUUCAUCGGUAAGAGUUUUGGUCGGCUUCAGCAGGUGGUCAGGGCUUCAAUCUUGUGUUUCUUAUAAGUUUUUUUACAAAAAUUAAUUAUCAUUAACGACGGUAGAAACUCAGUUCAUAUACAAUAACAAAAUAAAAAUAACAUUAUCAGCAAACAUGUCAUAUAUAAAUGGAUUUUUUUAUCUUUAUGGCGGAAAAGUCGUUGUAACUUUACUUUAGUGUGUAUUACAAAAAUCAAAGUAAAAGAAAAAUGAUAAAUAAAAUGAGAGAAUAAUAUAAGAGAGAUCGUUGUAACUUUUGUUGCUAUGAUGGAACCAUCCUCCAUCUUGUUCUCAACAUCAUCAAUCCAUAAUGACUAUCGAAAUAUCGGAUGAAAAACCAUCAUUUAUGAUAAAUGUCAAUCAUUCUGAUGUCAGUCGUUAAGCUACUCAACCGAGUUUAACAAAAACUAUCUUCUCCAUGUGGAUUCUGUGAAUAAGGUCGUUGGCUGGCGCGUAAACGUGGUGAUGUUUCACUUUUAACAGCAACAAAAAGUAGAAACUGAAGUAAUAGAUAACAGCACAAGUCCAAUGUAUGUAACUGUACUAUGUUGUAUCAUGUUCCACAUGGGAUUGGAUCCGCACGCCACCACCAUGACCAACAAAGUCAAUCCUCUCUCUCUAACUCUGUUCCUUUCCUCUUUCAAAGACAAAAACAAAAACCAAAACUAGUAGUAACACAACACAAUCCAAUUCAAUCAAUGUUUCAAUUUUUCCUAUCCACACCCCUUCUUUUUGUGGUACCCCACUUCUUCUUCCUCCUCCAAUAAUCUUUCAUCUUUCACUUCAUUUCAAUAACCAUCAUGAAGCUUUUGAACAACCCUUUUCCCUUUUCUUCUCAAUCUCAUAUUCAUUCACCCAUCAUGGAACAAUCUUCUCCUGUUACUAACCCUAAUCAAAUUCAUCUUGCUGUUGGUAAAUCCCUUCACAAAACCACUACCUUACUUCAAUGGACUUUCAAUCAAUUUAGGAACCAAGAAAUUGUCUUGAUUCAUCUUUAUAAACCUUCUCCUGUUAUACCCACUUUAUGUAAGUUCUUUUUUUUUCACUUUUUAAUGCUAAAUUUCAAUGCUUUAUGAUAAUCCCUUUUGUUUUAUCAUUCUGGGUCUUUCUUUUUUCUUUUUAAUAAUUUCUGCCUAAUUAGCUUAAUUUGUUUAAUUUUGUUGUUAAUUUGGUUAUUUAGUGGGGAAAAUGCCAGCUUCCCAAGCUAAUCCUGAAGUGGUAUCUGCUUUUAGAAGAGAGGAAAGAGAACAGACUGUGAGGUUUACUGAUAAGUAUUUGAGUAUUUGCUAUGCAGCUAAGGUAUGUACUAGUAUGUGUUUCUUUUGCAUUAUGAAUUUAAGAUAAAAAUUUAUGUGUUGGUAAUUAAUUAUCAUUGUGUUUUUUGACUCAAGCUUAUGUGGGAUUUUUAACUGAAUGUAUUUUUAUGAAAGUAUGAAACCUAUUAUUGAUUGUUUGUGUUGAUGUAAAUUUUGUUGUCAGGUGAAGGCAAGCGUUAUUGUAGCGGAAACUGACCAAAUCCAAAAAGGAAUUGUUGAUUUGGUUGUUAGUCAUAAUAUUAGGAAGCUUGUCAUUGGAGCGGAAACGGAAAAGUAAGUACUGCAUUGAGUGUAUGCUUAAUCGGUGUUUGUUUUUUGAACUGUCUUAGAUUUUAUGUUUUGCGAGUUAAUUGGGGCAUGGGAGUAUGUUUCUUCCAUACAUACUCCCUCUAUCCUAUUAUGUCCGUUUGUUCAUUGCAAAUUUGCAAUGUGCGCAUUACGAUAAUUGUCGAAUAAAAUGAGAUAGAGAGAGUAAUUGCCUUGUUAGUCAGCGUUGAACUUGGCUCAUUUGCUUCUUAGCUUCAUUCUAGUGGAUAGGUUCAUUUGCAGGGACAGAGCCACUUAUAGUCUCUUAGAGGGUCCUGCCUAUGCUGUUAGAGUACCCUAGUAUUUCACAUAAAUUUUUCUGAGUAACAAUAGUAUGAAAAUUCCACCAAAAGCUUAAAUUUUAUUGUUUUGGUCUCAAGUGUUUGAUGUCAAUAUUUGCUGUAAAGAAUGAAGAUUUUGACAUAACUAACCGGUUGUGUCUUCGUUUGAUAACAUGGAGCAUACAAUCUGCUUCAGUAUUUUCAUUCUUUGUCCCUUUUCUUUCAGAGAAGGGACGAUAAAUAUUUUUACUUACCAAAUCGUAAUGAAAAAUUGCAGUUUCAUGAAAGUGAAAAGGAGUUCCGGGAAAGCAAAUUACACUUUCAAACAUGCUCCCCCGUUCUGUGAAAUAUGGUUUAUAUAUAAAGGCAGACACAUUUGGACAAGAGAGGCUUCUGAAACACCGUGUUCUUUGUCUUCAGCUGCUCAAGCAGAGAUUGCAAGCACAGAAAGGACAAGAGAGGCUUCUUUUCAAUAUGGUAAGAACGAAUUACCCCAUUUGGAAGAUCUUCAACCAAAUUCUGCUAGAACUGCAGUAUGUUCUGAAAUUAGAAGCUUGGAUCUCGGUGAAAUCAUAGAAACCGAAGCCACUAAUUCAUCCAAAUCAUCCAGUUGCAGCAGUUAUUGUUCUCCACAAAAUUUGACUGCGGUUUAUCUAGAUGCAUAUUCAGAGGUCAUGGAANNNNNNNNNNNNNNNNNNNNNNNNNNNNNNNNNNNNNNNNNNNNNNNNNNNNNNNNNNNNNNNNNNNNNNNNNNNNNNNNNNNNNNNNNNNNNNNNNNNNNNNNNNNNNNNNNNNNNNNNNNNNNNNNNNNNNNNNNNNNNNNNNNNNNNNNNNNNNNNNNNNNNNNNNNNNNNNNNNNNNNNNNAAUCAUCCAGUUGCAGCAGUUAUUGUUCUCCACAAAAUUCGACUGCGGUUUAUCUAGAUGCAUAUUCAGAGGUCAUGGAAGAAAGAAUUAACAGUCAACUUAUUGAAACCCAAAGAGAAGCUGAGGCAGCAACAGAUGAAUCAUUUGCAGAACUAAUAAAGUGCAGGAGUUCGGAAGCUGAAGCCGCGGAAGCCAUGCAGAAAGUAAGCAUAAAUGUGUUGUUUGGAGAUUUCUUGGACAUAAUGUUAUAUGUUUUACCUGUAUAUAUCCAAAUUAAUACUAAAUGAUGAUAUCCAGUCUGUGUUAUGAUUGAUUUAUGAAUUGCUUGAAAGCUCUCUCAACCUAAUUAUAAAUUCUAUCUUCAGGUCAAAUUGUUUGAAUCUGCCCAUGCGCAUGAGGUGGAGCUCAGGAAAGAGGCUGAGGUUGCACUUAGAGAUACCGUACUAGAACAACAAAAGCUCUUAGAAGAGAGUGAACGUAUUUCGGGAGAGCUACAAAUGACCAUGAGAAAUGUGGCCCUACUAGAUAGCCGUGCUAAGGAAACAAUCCGUAGGCGAGAUGAAGCUGCACACGAGCUCUUGCUAAUUCAAACAUCCAUAUCAACCUUGUGGCAAGAAAGGCAGCAGAUCAGGAGACAGAAAAUGGAAGCCCUCCGCUGGCUUGAACGGUGGAAAAGUCGUGGACAAAUCGGAGCAGCUCAUUACAAUGGAGUCAUUGGGUUCGCUGAAGAACUGCCUGAGUUAGCAGAAUUCUCUUUAUCAGAUAUUGAAAAUGCUACAUGUAAUUUUUCCGAGAGCUUUAAAAUCGCGCAAGGUGGAUUUGGUUGUAUAUAUAAGGGGGAGAUGUUAGGUAGAACUGUUGCUAUAAAGAAGUUCCAUCAACAAAAUGUGCAAGGACCAGCAGAGUUUCAUCGAGAGGUCAGUUUUCACAUAAAUCUCUUUUUGUUUCUUUCUGCACAAUAACAAAUGGAAAUAUGUUCAAUUCUCAAGAAUGGUCGAAUUUCUCUCUUUUUUGUAUGUUUGUCUGAUUUAGAUGAUUUGAUCCUUUUGUGACCAGGUUCAAAUUCUUAGUAGUCUCCAACAUCCUCAUUUAUUGACAUUGCUUGGUGUUUGCCCUGAGGCCUGGUCAAUUGUAUAUGAGUACCUCCCAAAUGGAACUCUUCAAAACUACCUAUUCCGAAAAAGUAACAUUAUCCCUUUGACAUGGAAUAUCAGAACACGAAUGAUUGCCGAAAUUUCCAGUGCACUUUGUUUCUUACAUUCUUUUAAACCAGAAGCUAUUAUUCAUGGUGAUCUUAAGCCUGAGACUAUACUUCUCGAUUCUUCACUUAGUUGCAAGAUAUGCGAAUUCAGGUUCAGUAGGCUUGGGACGGAGGAGUCUCUCUAUAGUCCUAGUAGUAGUUUCCGCUUGAGCACUGAGCCAAAGGGUGCUUUCACAUAUACGGAUCCCGAGUUUCAGCGAACCGGAGUACUAACAACCAAGUCUGACAUCUACUCUUUUGGGCUUAUUAUUUUGCAACUCCUCACUGGUAGGACUCCAGUUGGAUUAGCAGUUCUAGUUCGCCAUGCAGUUUCAUUUGGAAAAUUGUCAUCAAUUCUUGAUUCUUCAGCUGGAGAAUGGCCUUUAUCUGUAGCAUCACGGUUGGUUGAACUCGGUUUGCAAUGUUGUGCGCAAAAUCGUAGAAGCAGACCAGAGUUAACACCUACUCUCGUGAGAGAAUUGGAACAGCUACAUGUUUCAGAAGAGAGACCCGUGCCAUCUUUUUUCUUAUGUCCAAUCCUUCAGGUAAUUGAUCUUUUUUUAACCAUUGAAAAAGCAUAACUAGAUUUUGUAUGCUAUGUGGCUCAUGUUUUAUGUUGGCUUCCUUCUUCAGGAAAUAAUGCACGAUCCUCAAAUCGCAGCAGAUGGAUUUACAUAUGAAGGAGAUGCCAUACGUGAAUGGUUGGAAAAUGGGCAUGAUACGUCUCCGAUGACUAAUUUAAAAUUGAAUCACUUGCUUCUCACUCCCAAUCACUCAAUUAGACUUGCCAUCCAAGAUUGGCUUUGCAAAUCAUAAAGGUACAUUAAUUCAUUUAGGCUAAAGAACUAUUUUUAUCCCCCUUAAGUUUAGGGUCCCCCGUUGUAAAUCUAUCCUGUAUCCAACAGAACUUUGUUAAAUUGAUUUGAUCCCAACCCUUUAGUUAGUCAACUUUAGCUGUCGCUUUGUCACAAAUUACCUGUGUUACACAUUUCAAGUACAUAAAAAAAUUGUAUUUUGGCCACAAUUUCCAGCCGAGAGAGCAAAGAGAAAACGAAGAAUGCCAAAGAUGUCAUAGUUCAUAGUCCUGUCAUCAUUUUUGUAAAAGUAGUCAUUUAUAUGGGUUGUUGACAAAAAAAUAGCCCUUUUUGUAUGUUAACCAAUAUAUGUAUAUGCUAUUGUUUUUCACUGUUCUUCUGUAAUACUUUCUAGCUUAUUCAUUUUCAAGUGUUCAAUGAUACAUGGUUGGUUGUAUUGCAUGAUUGGAAAUUCCUUUUAUACAAUAGAAUUUAUAGAAUCUUCUACGGACACCUUCUACAGAGACUAGCGUAGACUCUAGUGCUUCUAAUAACCUGCCAUUGUACAAAAUCAUAAGCAAUGGUUGGCUCGGCCUAGCUAAGAUCAGAGUCGUUUGAGCAAGAGGCAUCGUUUUCUUGAUUUUCAUUCUUGUUAAAAUCAGAGUUACAUAUGCCAAAUGUGGUUGACAGUGAUUUUUCCCUUGGAACGACUGGUAGUCGACAUUUGGGAGGAACUUCCAAAACCUUGAGUUCCAUUGGACAACCUCCAAGCGUGAUUUUGUUCUUCCUUAUGUAGAGUUCCUUCUUCCGGUAAUUUCAGUGUCUCGGUUAAACCUGCAUGCAAAUAGUGUAAUGAUCUCGUUACAGCAGGUGUAAUUUGCUUUGCAAGCAAUACUUUGCUAAGAUAUGUUGGAAGGAAUAAGGCGAUGAAAUUGUUGUAAUUAUUAGAUAUUUUAGAAAUAAUUUAUUAUUAGCAAACUACUUAAAAAAUAAUUUUUGUAAAGUAUGGUGAUUCGCAAAAAUCGUUUGUGACGAUCCUGAGGAAGUCAGAUUCAAGUGGGAGUGAUGGCCGCAGAUGAAUUGGAAGAUGCAAAUUGAAGAUUAGAUUAUCUGUAUCAGGGAAAGUUACAUCAAUUUCUCACAAAAGAAACCAAAUUCGAUGAAGGAAGAUGAGUGGAAAUUUCUCAAUAGACAAGCACUUGGUGUCAUCCGAUUGUUGUUACUUAUAUCGGAAUGUUGUUUUUAACAUUGUAGAGGAGAAAACCACCACUAGUCUCUUAUGAAUGCUAUUUUUAGCAUGUUCGAAAAGUCUUCGGUCUCAACUAAAGUUGAUGCAGUUGUUUACACUUCGGAUUAUAAAAGGUGUGUCGAUUGUUCAACCUACCAAUGAACUCAACUUUCCUUAAUAUGAAGUGGUAACAACUGCAUACUUUUCCUACAUGCUAGAAAGAGCAUUCAUAAUAGCUAUUGUGCUCAUGGGUUGCCUCUACUCAAAUUCAAAAAAUUCUCUUUCCACCCCUCACAUUUCUCUUUUCGCACAUAAAAUUUUGGAAAACGUUUUCCGAAUUUUUUUAUAGUGUGUAAAAUUUACACUAUAAAACAACUUCGGAACGUAUUUUUCAAAAUUUUUUGUGUGCUAGGGGGUGAAAAAGUAACAUGAGGGGUGGGUUGAGAAUUUUUCCUCAAAUUCAAGGUUGGAUCAUUCUAGUUUCAAGGGCAGUCUAUUAUCAUUUGGGAAUUACUUUUGUCGACCUACUGGUUACACACGCGCCCUAUGAUGUUUCCAUUUUACCCUUCCGCUAUUAAAUAGCGUACGUUAUAAAAAUGAAUUUUUGUUGAAAAAUAUCAUCCGCUACUUAAGUAGUUUAAGUAGCGGACGUUAUAAAGGUAUGGUGUUUUGAUGGGUGUCCGCUACUUAAGUAGCGGACGGGGGUAUAUUGGUAAACCUCUUAUCAUUUUGGCCUUUAAAAUUGGUUAAAUUCAAAGUUUAAAAUAGUUUACGUGUUUGAAAAUAUGUCUUUGCAUAGGAGGAGGAGGAAUGGUUCAUGUUUGAAAGUUCCACUAAGUUUUGAAAACUAGUAUAAAUUAAUAAAGGGUUUAGUCAACUUCAUCUGCGGGAAUAUUUGUGAAUUGUUAUUCAAGGAUUUCGGAUUAUCUCGUUUGGACAAGUUGCAUAAGUAAGUAGCAAAUCAUAUAAUUUCUAAGGAGGAGUGAGGUUGUUCAACCUCGAUGGAGUUGGUGGCGCAUCACAAUCAAGUGAUAGGGUGAUGAAAUUAAAGAUACAGUACAACACAACAUAGAACAUCACAUGACAAUCGUUUAAGGUACUGAAUAAACUUUGUGUUGUACGAUGUUUGAUAGUCAAAAGGUUAUUUUGAUAUUUUAGACAAGUUGUGUUGAGGACAAAAAGUUGUCAUGUGGCUCUGUGAGGAUAAAAAUUUCAGUUUUUGUCCUGUCCCUUGGCCCCCCAGUUUGUCCAGUACCAGAAACAGUUUUAAAAUCAAACACAGUACAACAGAAAUUAUGUUGUUCAGUCCUUUAUUUUUUAGCAGAUCAAACGCACCUUUAAAAAACAAAUCAACACUAAGAUAAUUUUUAAUGACAGUCCAUUUAGCUUACUAUUUUGGCUUAAUUACAAUUUUAAUUCUCUUAUUUUUUAUUUAUUCAUAAAAUUGGUCCUUCUUUCAUAAAAAAAAAAAAAAAAAUUGGUCCCUCUAUUUUCAAAUCAUCCAAAUUUAGUCCCUACAUUUAUUUAUUUUUCAAGUACAUUUAUUUCACAAAAACAAGUGAAUCCCUACUUUUUUUUUGCGACUAAAGAUUGAACUCGUAAUUACUAUAUAUGAUUUUUGAGUCAAAUAAAUUAUUAUGUACGAUUUUAUUUUUUUUGUCAAUAUUAUUAUAUACAAUUUACUCGAUUGAAAAACUACUUUUAUAUUCCACAAAUUUAAUCGAAUAAUAUUAAGGUCUCAAGUUCAAAACCAAACUUGUACUGACGAUAGCCUUAAAACUCUUAAUAAAGGUUUAGUUUUUUUUUUUUUAAUUUACAAUGGAACUGAGGAUCAAACCCAGGACCUCUAAUAUAUCAAUGAUAUCAUCCAAAUCCCUCACUAUUAGACUAAACUUAGUGGCUUAUAAAAAUUUACCUUUAUUUGAGGGGGUUCAGUUUUAUCCAUUUGCUACCCCAUCAUUUAUUAUUCAUUUAUAAAAGAGAUAGACAUAAACAUAAUAAGAAUAAUAAAAUCCACUAAUGAGGUCCACUUAUAGAAGUAAAUACAGCUGAUUUUUAUUUAUAUUUAUCUCUUUCCUAAAUUGACAACAAAUAGAAAAUAAAAAAUGAAUCAAACAUACGCUUUAUUUUAAGGAAGUGCAAUCAAGAUCCCCUCAAUUUGCAAAAUGAUUGGAGGGAGAGGAGUUUACAUCUCCACCAUUAAAAGAGUAUCUUUUUAUGUUUUUUAUUUUUUUGAAUUUUAAAUGAAAGGAUCUAAAUUUGACCGAUGGAAAUUUACAUAGGAGAUGAUCCACUCUCUAGUAAGUUUAGAUGUUGACUUUGAAUAUUGUAGUUUUUAUUGUUAGUCCUAGUCAAAGCAAGAUAGAAGACCAAGUUUGUUAUGGGUCUUGUAUAUCUACUAGCCCCUAGUUCAACAUAUUUAUCGUAUUUGCCAAUUUCACAUAUAUUAAAAAAUAUAUAAUUUUAUUAGUUUAUUCUUAUUAGUGUAUUUUUAUUACAAUAAAUACAAAGUAGGAUUUUUUUUAUAUAGAAAAUACAAUUAAAUAGAAAAUAAUUAAAAAUACAAUCUUAAAAAAAAAAACAAUAUUGUUUUUACAAAUAUGAAAAUUAUUAUACUUUAUACUCUCUUCGAUUACAAUUAUAAAUCAAAAGUUGAUUUUUUAUUUUCAUUGAAUAAUUAAUGUAUGUGAUCUAUACUAUAUAGACAAAAUACAUCAGUUAUUCGAUGAAUUUGAAAAAUAAAAUUUUGUAUAUAGUCUAGAAACAUAGAAGAUCAGAAAUAAGACUUUCUAAAUAACCACCUUUUUGCAAUGCAGCGCAGCCACAACAAUUUCAUUUAAUAUUAAUUUUAUUUUUCAUUAUUAUAGUAACAAAAUUAUUAUGCUUUGACUUGUACUUUACUUGUCUCUAAGGUUGUUGUGUUAGUUUUAUAGCGUUACCAGCCACCUUUGUCACAAAAUCAUCACCACCAUAACUCUCCAUAUCUCUCUGUCACAAAAAAUCUGCUUCAAUUCACUUUUGUUUUCAUCCGUUAAUUUAAGGUUAGUUUGUGUUUCAUUCAUUAAUAAUCAAAACUGUUUUUCAUAUGUUUUGUUUCUCUAUAUGUUGACCAGAUUCUAUGUGUUUGUUUUUCUGUUAAAUUUUCAAUUAUUAUGAAAAACGGUUUUAAUUCAUAGAGUUUGAUGAAACUGAAGGUUCCACUAUGUUCUUUCAAUCUUUUAAUUGUUAAUCUAAUAAUAACUCCAGUCUUUGUUCUCAAAAUUUCAUAUCCAAAUUAAAUUAUUUUUCUGUAUAUGUUAAUUUGGUAAUAAUUUCUACAAAAAUGCACGUAGAGUGUAAAAUUUUAUCAUCGAAUAGCAAUCGCUUAUUGGGUCAAAUCACUCCACUUUAAUUGCAUAACACGGAGAAAUGUUUAGUUUUCAGUGUAAAAUUAAUUUAUACUGAAAGAGCAUAUUCAAUAAACUCAUAAUUUUCGUUAAAAAAUCAUAUAAUAUAAAUAUGUAUUUAUGAACAUAUGAAUGAUAUAUAGUCUAUAUUGUCAUUUUUAUUUUUGUAACAUUAAUCAUGGUUUUGCAGGACAAGGUAUAGUAGCAGAAAUUGAUUAUCAAUUGAGUGGAUUGAAAUUUACAGAAAUUUUUGAUUAUUUGUUAUGGGAAAACACUUGAUUAAUUCAGAGGAAUCCACUCAAAUUCAAGAAGUUAAUCAAGGAUGCAUGUGGGGAAUGUUUAAUAUUCUUGAUUACCAUCAUUGGGGUGUCAAAAAGGUGUUUCAUCAUAAAAAGAAAAGACAUAACAGAUGUAAGCAAUUUCAUACCACAGCCUGUUUUUCCUUUUUAAUUUCUCUUUAUCACUUGAUUUUUUAUUUAUUUAUUAAGGAAUCAUUGCAAUUGAUUUAGAGUAAUAAUUAUCUUGAAAGGAAUCAUUAAAAGUGUCUUAAUGAUAAAACAGAAAUUAAGGGAGGCAAUUUAGUCCAUCUUAUCAAGAACUUUUGUGUCAAUAAUAUACAACUUAAUUGAAUGAUUCUCCCUAAUCCACAGGAUUUAAUUCAUAUGCACAGACGGUGUAAAAUUUGUUUACAUUGUUAAUCAAUCAUAACUGUUUGAUCAUUAGAAAGUUUGACUUUUAUCAUUUCUAACAUAAAUGUCUUGCAAAUGAUGACUUAUGAUUGGUUGACUGGUACUUCGUAUGUUGGACCAGUCCAUGGCUUUAAAUAGGCCCCUGUUAGUGGACAAUGAAAUUAGUGUUCCUCAGAUUAGUCGGUUAUUGAGCUAAAUACUGAAUCUUUAAAAAAAAAUGGUUUGAUUGUGUAAAAUUUUUUACACUUGUUGUGUAUCAAAAUUAUUCUCUACUUUGGAUGUAAUAAAACUACUAUGUCAUUAAUUAUAUAUAUAUUAUUACCCUAACUUGUAAAAAAAUUUAUUCUUAAUUGCAUAUUAUUUGUAUCAUGGCCACAUUUUACUUCUGUGAAAGACUUUAAAUGCUUAAUAGACUUUUUAAUCUAUAUGCAGAUAAGAGAAAGAUCACUCUGCAAGAGCAACAAAAUGUAGUUACAGAAGCAGAAUCACACUUGGUAUGUUUAAAAAAUUCAUGAUUUUGUUUUAUGGUCACAAUCAAAAUCAAAUAAACAAUGAUUAUGUAUAAUAAUAUUGUACAUUAUAUAAUAAUAUCUGUGUUUGAAUCUAAUAUAAAAUAAAAAUUUCAGGUCAGUCAACAUAGAGAAAUAUCAAGUGCUAAAGGUCAAACUAGUAGUGAGAAUGCACUUCAUCAGAAGAAAGAUGGAAAUACAACAGAAAGUUCCCUUAAGAGAGACAUUUCAAUUAAAUUUAAGAAUAAUGAUGAUGUUUUGGAGCUAAUUAGUGUGGAGAAGAAUUUGUUACUCAAAUUUCUAAAAGAUAUAGACUUUGGUGGUAAAAAAUAUCAUAAAGCUUCCCACAACAAAGCAACAUUGACAAAAUCGGGAUCAUUUCCUUUACCUGCGUCUUCUAAGACGAAAAAUAUUAGCUCUAGUACCUUCCGAGCCAAGCAAACUGAAAUUUGGGAUUUUCCUAAGGGAGAAAAGUUGCGUGUCGGCACUCAUGUACCGAAAAAGUUUGGAUCAAGUUCAGUGAAAGAUAUUUCGUAUGAAAUGCUGAAGCCUUCCGCGACUGAUAAUGGAAUUGAUAGUGUCGUUGCCGUGGAACAAAAGUCAAGCAUUUCUACGUGGUCUUCUGACGGAUUAAACCACAAAGGAUGGAAUCAAGUGGUUACUCAUCAGUUCAAAGUUAUAAAACAGAAGAUUAAACAUGCAAUUGUGGAAUUAAAGAAAAGUGGUCACAGUAAAACUUCACCUGAAUACAGCAACAUUGAUAAUGAGAAAGAAAUCUCGCAAAGCUUAGACGAUGGUGCAAUUCAUGAAUACAAAAAGAGUAGAAGCUUGGGUGAGACUAAAGCUUCUGAAUCUGGUUCCAACAAACACGAACCUCGCCUGAUGCGAAGAACGUCUUCUCUUAACGAAUCGAUGGAUAGAUAUACUCAAUUGUUUGAGAAAAGUUUAAGCAAAGAGGUCAAGUGGCAAAGCUCAAAGUCGAAGAGUUUAAGAUUGACAAAUGACGAUAAGACUCAAAAGAGUAAGCAUGCUCGUAUUUUCUCCAGAAGCAAUUUGUCUAUGCCUAAUCUCGAGGCAUUAGGAUUCAUUCUACAUGAAGCUCUUCUUGAAACAAAUGAUAUCGGAAAUAAUACAGUGGAAAGUGAUAAUGAUGUUCAAAGUAAAUCAGUGAGCCUUUCUUUAAAGAAUGAUAAAUCAACCGAUCAUUUUAAAGAGGCUGAAAUUGAUGAAACAGUUGAAGGAAGUGGACGAGAUGUGAAUCCUAGUCCUCGUUCUUUAUCGGAUAAGAUGGUGGAGGAAAUUGAUGAAGGAGUUACCUGUGAUCAAAGGGAGGACAUACACGAGCCAGCAUCGGAACAAGAAGGUAACAAAAUUUAUGUUAAUGUGCAUGAGACUAACAUAACAUAAUCGUUAGAUAUUAAAAUUGUUUGAUUUUAAUCGUAAUUACUUUAAAAGUCUCUGAUCAUAAGAUGAUUUGUGAUUGGUUGACAUGACAGUAACAGAUCGUUUACUAAUCGUUUUUUGGCUAUAUAUAUCAGGAAAAGAAUCGAAUACACGAGGCUCAAAUGCUAGUGUAACAGCCGCCGAAGACACAAACAAGAGUCUUGAAACUGAUAUCUUGCACUUCAAGUCAUAUUCAGAAACCGAUUCCAAUUUCAAAUAUGUGAAAGAUAUUCUUGAAUAUUCGGGUUUCACGAGAAAUGAGCAGGCUCAAAUGCGAUACACGGUAGACCAGCCAAUAAAACCAUCGUUAUUCACAGCUUUGGAAGAAUCUUUGCUUCAUGAAAAUGAGUAUUCCGGUGAAGAGAAUACCAACAUAUGUGAUCGCCAACUUCUUUUUAACUUGAUUAACGAGGUACUCUUUCAAAUGUACGAAAAGUCACCAACUUACUUUCCGAAACCCUUCGCCUUCAACUACAAACUCAAAUCAAUGCCUAAAGGGAACUAUCUUGUUAAUGAAGUAUGGAACAAUGUUAGUUCAUAUUUGAGUUUGAGACCAGAGUUAGAUGAGACAUUAGAUGAUGUUGUCGGUCGUGAUUUGACAAAGGGAACUGGUUGGAUGAAUCUUCAACAGGAAGAGGAAUGUGUAGCACUUGAACUGGAGGAUAUGAUCAUAGAUGAUUUAUUAGAUGAAAUUAUCUUCUCUUUUGUUUGAUGUUCAAUACUGAUUCAAGUGUGUUUCAGUUCAUUGAUGAUUUUUUGAUGCAGAAUAGAAUUCAUUGUAAAUAGGAUUGUCUUAGCAGAUGUUAUGUAGAGUUGCUUAAAGAGUUUUGGUGCAUAUUAAUUCUCAUGUAAAUAACAUACCUUCAAGAUUGUUUAUUAUUGAUUGAUGUUAAAGUAACAAUAAAGUCCAUUAUUAAUUUAAUUCUCAUGUAAAUAACAUACCUUCAAAAAAGACUGUGUAAACUUUUACACUGUAAUUCAAUAGCAAUCGUGUAUCCUCAAAAUCACUUAACUACACCCCACUUCAACCGUAUAACCUAGAGAAAUGUUUGAUUCUUAUUGGAUGUCGGUGUAAAAUUAAUUUACACUAACAAGCAUAUCUAUUAAACUCAUAAAAUGUGAACCACACAAAAUGUGUUACCCAACUUUGUCUUUAAAAUUCUAAGAUCAGACUCAUAGUCACUUAUUUAAAGUGUCAAAUUUAAUUGACUUUUAUAAUUGAAACCGAAAUAAUUUUUUAUUUUUUUUUGGGUUUUACCACCAAAAUACAGUCCACUUGGCUGUCUAAUCUGGUUUGGAGUCAGUUCUGACAUCAAGUGUGGUUCCAGCUCCAUUCCUAUCGCAAUUGCGGGGAUCGAAUAUUGGUCCUCCCUACCAAGUCAAACGUCAAUCAUCAUUGAACCAACUAACAAUUGGUUUAAACCAAAAUAAUAUAUUCAAUUAAAUCAACUCCGGUUAAAAUAAUAAUUGGAAUUAAUUAACCCAAACACAAUAGUAAAAAGUUAAACUCAAAUAAAUAAAAGUAUUUUUUUUUUGAGUCACUAAUUUGGUCUAAUGGUGAGGUAAAGUUUGUGGCUUCAUCUCAUGUACAUUUUAAACAAAACAAAAAAACAGAAGAUCAAUUUCGUUCCGUGGUGAUUGAUGCUGAAUUUGGUAGUGAGUAUCAUGAGUCGAUCCCCGCAAUUACGACCGGAAGGGGCUGAAACCAUUUGAUGUUAGAACUAACCCUCGAACCAUACUAGGCAGUCCAUCGGCCGAAUACUGGCGGUGAAAAAAAAAAUUCAAAAUAAAAAUAAAAAUUAUGGACAAUAAUUCCAAAAAGUAUAUAAAGACCAUGGAAAUUACCAAGCAACAAUAUACGGGUUGAAGUGACAAGCAUGAGCAUGCGAAGUGUAAUGAGCAUCGCAAUACAAGCGAAGUUCAUAGAGACAUUACGUCGAACACUUGGUAGCAUUCAGACCCAACUCAGUUUCAGAUUCUUUUGCACACAAACAACACACAACCAAGACAGCUUAUGCAAGAGAAUCGAAAAGCUUCCCAAAGGAGAAUCAAUAUCUUCCGCAUUCCGUAGUUGGAUGCGUGAUGGCUUCCCCGUUCGCGGCACCGAUGUCUUUCACACCAUUAACCGUCUCAGAAAGCUCAACUUCAACAAACGUGCACUUGAGGUAAUUUUCACACAUUUGUUCAUUCUUUUUUGUUUUCUUAAUCAAUUUUUUUCUGCUUCAAUGAAUAUAGAACUACCACUUUGGCCCUGUUUGGAUAAACAGAUUAUUUUUCAGCUCAUUAGCACUACUUAUCGUAUAAACGUUUAUGAAUGACCGGCAAGUUUGGAUUAACUUAUUUUUGAACUUAUGCCAAACAACUUACGCAAAUAAAUAAGUUUUUAUGUAUUAUUAUUAUUAUUAUAAGUUUUUCAAGGUAGUUUAUGAAAAAGCAGCUUAUAAAGAUACAAUUUUUGUUAGUGAAAACUUAUGAAUUAACAUAAAAGUUUAUUUGCAUAAGCUCUUUUCAUAAGCUCAAAAAUAAGUCAAAUCCAAAUGCAACACAUGAUAAAAUGUUGUUUUUUUAUAAGCUAUAAGCCGUUGUCAUAAGCUAUCUUGGAAAACUUAUGAAAAUAAGCUAAAAACAGCUUAUGAACAAUGUAAUAAGUUGUUUUUGUAAGUUUCACAAACGGUCUCACAAAACUUAUGCCAGUAGAUAAGCUCAAAUAAGCAAAUCCAGACUGCUUUUGUAUAAUCUAUAAGUUGUUUUCAUAAGCUACCUUGGAGAGCUUAUGCAAAUAAGCUAUGAACAUGUCAAAAUUUGUUUUUUGAGUUCUUCCAGGCAGUGUCUUUGUGUUUUGUAUAAAGCUCCAUUGUUUGAGACUUGAAUAUUUUGUCUUCUGACUUUUGGUAGGUGAUGGAAUGGGUGAUUAGGGAGAGACCCUAUAGACCUAGUGAACUAGAUUACUCUUAUCUAGUGGAAUUUACAAGUAGGCUUCAUGGAAUUCCACAUGGUGAAAAUCUCUUCAAACGUGUUCCUGUUGAAUUUCAGAAUGAGUUACUCUACAACAACCUGGUGAUUGCUUGUUUAGAUAAAGGUGUCAUUAGGCGUUCAUUUGAGUACAUGAAGAGAAUGAGAGAAUUGGGUUAUCCCAUUUCGCAUUUGGUCUUUAACCGCUUAAUAAUUUUGCAUUCAUCGCCGGGUCGCAGGAAGAUGAUACCCGGUUUACUCAACCAAAUGAAGGCUGAUAAGGUCACUUCGCAUGUUUCUACAUACAAUAUAUUGAUGAAAAUAGAGGCCAAUGAACAUAAUCUUGAAAAUUUGAUGAGGUUUUUUGAUAGAAUGAAACGGGUGCAGGUUGAACCGAAUGAAAUAUCUUACUGUAUUUUAGCUACUGCACAUGCAGUUGCUAGGUUGUAUGCUGCAACUGAAAUGUAUGUUGAGGCUGUGGAGAAAUCUAUGACGGGGAAUAAUUGGUCAACAUUGGAUGUCUUGCUUAUAUUGUAUGGGUAUUUGGGGAGCCAGAAAGAGCUUGAAAGGAUUUGGGAUAUCAUUAAAGGACUUCCUUUUGUUAGAUCUAAAAGUUAUAUGUUAGCCAUUGAAGCAUUUGGUAGGAUUGGAGAGUUAAACCGAGCUGAAGAGAUUUGGUCUGAGAUGGAGUCAUUAAAAGGAUUGAAAUCUGUAGAGCAAUUUAAUUCAAUGAUGACUGUGUAUUGCAAACAUGGAGUGAUUGACAAAGCAUCUAGGUUGUACAAAAAUAUGAAGACAAAGGGAUACAAACCGAAUGCCAUAACGUAUCGUCAUCUUACGUUGGGCUGCUUGAAAGCGGGUAAGGCAGAGCAAGCUUUGAAGACAUUAGACUUGGGCAUGCAUUUUCCGGUUAACAAGAGGGUUAGUAAUUCAACACCAUGGUUGGAGACCACUCUUUCAAUUGCUGAGAUUUUUGCUGAAAAAGGUGAUGUCGAAAAUGUUGAGAGAUUGUUUGAAGAAUUUCAUAAAGCUAAGUAUUGUAGGUAUACUUUUGUAUAUAAUACCUUGAUUAAGGCUUAUGUAAAAGCUAAGAUUUAUAAUCCAAAUCUUUUGAGAAGGAUGAUUCUUGGAGGAGCUAAUCCUGAUGCUGAAACUUACAGUCUUUUGAAAAUUGCUGAACAUUUUCGCACCUGAUAGUUUUAUUGAUAGUUUACAACCAGGUUAAUGUUAUAUCAUUAUAUGUAUUCUUAUGUUGUCAUUCUAUUUAAUAAAUAUGUAUCAAUUGUGGAACAAGAGUCAAUAAGAACAUCUGCCAUUGCAUAUGAAAGCUCCAUUUGUUUGCAUCAACAACUGAUAAUGUAAAGAUACUGUGGGUAUAACGUUGAUUUACAUUGAUCUCUCCAAAUUCAGCUACAUUGCUCCAUAAUAGAUUGCCAGUUUCAGUUGUUUGGAAAGGUGAGGAUUCCUUGUCUUUGGAGAUAACUGCUGGUGGCUUGGUUGGUGUGCGCUCUUUUAGGUAUGUGAUGAUGGAUCUUUUUUAAACUGUUUUGUUCUGAAUGUUUUUCAGUUUUAGUUUAUGGUCGGGUUUGAAAUUUACAUAUGAAUUUAACUGUUAUUGGUAAGAAAAUAUGCAUGAAAAUGGGAUGUUGUUGGCAAGAAAUGAAUGAUUUUGUGCUCUUGAGACAUUGUAUCGUAUUCAAGUGUUUCUGUCAUAAAUCAUUGUGUCUUCACUUCAAGGAAUCAAAAAGAGUCUUUUCUAUACACACAACAUCAAGGGAUUCAUAUAAACAAACUCCUUUAUUAGAUAGUUUAAUUGUCGAUGGUUUGGUUCUAUUUUUUUUAUUCAGUUUAAUAUUUUUUUGUGUAGUUAUUUUGAAUCUGUUCAGAUUGUGGAUGCAUACCUCUUGACUGAUUGCUACAUUUUCCUAUCUACACCUUUUUUUUACCAUUUUAUUUUUCAGUGGUGGAUUGAACUUCAUUUUUCAUCUAUUAGGAGGGAAAAUUCUACGGAGGAAGAUGAGUCUGUUGAAUCAAUGUCUCAAGUUAAUGACAAUGAAGAAGUAGAUUCAUUUCGUGUUUACUUUUAUCUAUGUACUCGUCAUUUAUAUUUUGUUUAUGGUUUCUUCUUUCAGAUUUUUGGGAGUGUGAAGAAACAGUAGAAAAGUGAUAUUAGGAGUUCCAAAGUUGAUCUUGGAACCAACAAGGAAUUGAAGAAGCAGAAUUUAGUAUAUUCAACCAGGGAACUGUGGCAGGAAAAAUGAAGAGAAAGAGGUAAAAUACAAUCUACUUUGGUUUGCUUAGUAUCUCAAAAAGUCAUGGCAUGUGUCAUCAGUUUUUGUUGAAUAUAAUGUUUCAUGUUAGCCAUCAAGAAAUUAUAAAUUGUCACAUCUUUAUAAUAUUCCUGUAUUUUUUACAGUUUAUACCAUUUACUGAAUUGGUUAGAAAUAUUUCACUAUCAAAGCAAACACCAGUGAUCCAAGUGAAGGCGAACACCUUUAUUGGAGAGUUAUAAAUGGACCUUUUAUUAGUGUCUGGCUUCACAAUGUACCUUGGGGUGCUGAAAACACAAUGGCAAUACCUGCUGCAAAGGUUUUUUUUGUGUGUGAACAAGAACUCAAGCAUAUCAUUUUGUGUGAAAUUGAAAACCAUUCAGUUUGAUGAAGUUUGCUAAAUUAUGUAUUUUGCAAUAAUUUUAUAUACACACUUUUUGCCUCUAAUAUAAUACUUUUGGCUUAAUAAUAAUAUCAUUCACAUUGCAUGGCUUCAAACAAUGUUAAUUGUUUAUUUAAUACUAGUAUUUAUUUAGUUAAUUAUUUAAUAUGUCGGUAAAGUUUCCCCAUUUGUGAAUUCAGAGUCCAACAAAAGAGUCCAACCAGAGUGACCUUUAGAGGAUAUGUAUAUGUUCUAUAGAGAUACAUAUACUUGGACUCCAGUUCAGGGAAUAUUAUUUGUGUACCCUACAAGGGCCUACCCUUUCUUUCUCUUGGAAAAUGCUUGGCUUGAUUAUAAGCCACAUGAACAGUUGUGUAGAUAACUAUGUAAGGAUAGACCUUGGGACAGUAGACAACACGGACAAUGUUUACUAAACAAGGGGAGAAGAUCCUCUCCCAUGAAAACUUUCUCAAGUGAAAUCAAGGCCCUUCAUUAGAAUGUGAAAAUAAUAUAAAACAUGGAGAGAUAAUGUUUCAAGGGUGUGAAUGUUCACUGCUCCCCCUUCCGGUGAAUACCACACUUGAGAGGAUCCCUUUCCCAAAACAAGAUGUGGUAACACUUGAGACUGCUGCUAGUCCUCUAAAUUUUAUGUUUCAAUACAAUUCAUAUAGCUUGUUAAGGAAAUUUAUACCCUAUAUAAUUGAUACAGGUCAUAUCAUACAAAUAGGAAUUUAUACCCUAUAUAUGUUUUGUAGUUAUUGUCUUGACUAUUGAGAUAAUAAUAAUAGACUACUCCUUGU